rnacentral:rRNA from 1 species
CUACGGGGGGCACCAGUGGGGAAUUUUGCGCAAUGGGCGGAAGCCUGACGCAGCAACGCCGCGUGAGGGAUGAAGGUCUUCGGAUUGUAAACCUCUGUCAAGUGGGAAGAACCCUGACGGUACCACUGGAGGAAGCCCCGGCUAACUCCGUGCCAGCAGCCGCGGUAAGACGGAGGGGGCAAGCGUUGUUCGGAAUCAUUGGGCGUAAAGCGUAUGUAGGCGGCCGGAUAAGUCAGGCGUGCAAGCCCAUGGCUUAACCAUGGAAUUGCGUCUGAAACUAUCUGGCUUGAGGACAGGAGAGGAAAGCGGAAUUCCCAGUGUAGCGGUGAAAUGCGUUGAUAUUGGGAAGAACACCGGUGGCGAAGGCGGCUUUCUGGCCUGUUUCUGACGCUGAGAUACGAAAGCCAGGGGAGCGAACGGGAUUAGAUACCCUAGUAGUC